GAGUUUGAUCAUGGCUCAGAUUGAACGCUGGCGGCAUGCCUUACACAUGCAAGUCGAACGGCAGCAUGAUCUAGCUUGCUAGAUUGAUGGCGAGUGGCGAACGGGUGAGUAAUACAUCGGAACGUGCCCUGUAGUGGGGGAUAACUAGUCGAAAGAUUAGCUAAUACCGCAUACGACCUGAGGGUGAAAGUGGGGGACCGCAAGGCCUCAUGCUAUAGGAGCGGCCGAUGUCUGAUUAGCUAGUUGGUGGGGUAAAGGCCCACCAAGGCGACGAUCAGUAGCUGGUCUGAGAGGACGAUCAGCCACACUGGGACUGAGACACGGCCCAGACUCCUACGGGA
rnacentral:rRNA from 1 species